GGGGGCGUAACGGUUUCGACGGGGACAUUUGAAGUUGUAGAAGCGUGCCGAGGUUCCUACAGGCCUCGUUAAACAGGUAGGAAACAUAUAAUCGCAGACAACUACGAUUACGCUUUAGCCGCUUAGACGGCUAACGUCGAACCCGGUUUUCCUGCCGGUCGGGCAAGACGUCAUUCAGACAGGAUAGCCAAACUUCUUUCCUGGGGGAGGGCGGCGAAUCCUUACAGGAUAGCAAAGCUUUGAUCCCGCCUUUGGGAGCAAGCCGCGCGAAGGUUCUAAAACGAAGGCUACGCACGUAGAAGCUCCAGCGGAAGGUUUUCGGACGCGGGUUCAAUUCCCGCCGCCUCCACCA
rnacentral:tmRNA from 2 species